UCAUGUGACGCCGGCGUCAAUGAGGAAUGCUACCUAGUUGUUCCUGCCAUUAGUCAUAUGCUUGUCUCAAAGAUUAAGCCAUGCAUGUGUAAGUAUGAAGAAAUUCAGACUGUGAAACUGCAAAUGGCUCAUUAAAUCAGUUAUAGUUUGUUCGAUGGUAUCUACUACUCGGAUAACACUAGUAAUUCUAGAGCUAAUACGUGCAACGAACCUCGACUUCUGGAAUGGAUGCAUUUAUUUGAUAAAAGGUGGACGCGGGCUCUGCCUGUUGCUCCGAUGAUUCAUGAUAACUCGACGGAUCGCACGACCACCGUGCCGGCGACGCAUCAUUCAAAUUUCUGCCCUAUCAACUUUCGAUGGUGGUGGUGACGGGUGACGGAGAAUUAGGGUUCGAUUAAGGAGAGGGAGCCUGAGAAACGACUGCCACAUCCAAGGAAGGCAGCAGGCGCUCAAAUUACCAAAUCCUGACACGGGGAGGUAGUGACAAUAAAUAACAAUAACGGGCUUUAUGAGUCUGGUAAUUGGAAUGAGUACAAUCUAAAUCCCUUAACUGGCAAGAGUCAGGACGACGGGCUUUAUGAGUCUGGUAAUUGGAAUGAGUACAAUCUAAAUCCCUUAACAAGGAUCCAUUUGAGGCCAAGUCUAGUGCCAGCAGCCGCGGUAAUUCAAGCUCCAGUAGCGUAUAUUUAAGUUGUUGCAGUUAAAAAGCUCGUAGUUGGACUUUGGGAUGGGCCGGCCGGUCCGCCUUUGGUGUGCACCGGUCGUCUCGUCCCUUCUACCGGCGAUGCGCUCUUGGCCUUAAUUGGCCGCGGCGUGCACGGGGGACUUGUGCUUCUUUUGAAACGCAAACAACUCUCGGCAACAGAUAUCUCGGCUCGCGCAUCGAUGAAGAACGUAGCGAAAUGCGAUACUUGGUAUGAAUUGCAGAAUCCCGUGAACCAACGAUUCUUUGAACGCAAGUUGCGCCCAAAGCCAUUAGGCCGAGGGCACGUCUGCCUGGGCGUCACACAUCGCGUCGGCCCCGUACACCGCACCCAUCUUAUGGUUGCGGUGCUGUCGUGGGACGGAUACUGGCCUCCCUUGCUCCUCGAGCGUGCGGUUGGCCUAAAUGCAAGUCCACAGCGACGGACGUCACGACAAGUGNNNNNNNNNNNNNNNGAUUAAUGAACCCCGUUGUGGAAAGCGCCACCUUGCUCCUCGAGCGUGCGGUUGGCCUAAAUGCGAGUCCACAGCAACAGACGUCACGAUAGAUGGUGGUUAAAAGUCAACUCUCGUAAUGUCGCGGAUCCAACCUGUCCCAUGUUUGGGCUCCCCGACCAUUAUCGCGCUUAGGCGCUCCGACCGCGACCCCAGGUCAUGUGGGACUACCCGAUGAGUUUAAGCAUAUCAAUAAGCGGAUGGAAAAAAACAUACAAGGAUUUCCUUAGUAACGGCGAGCGAACCCGAAACAGCCCAGCCUUAGAAUCGGGCUGCUCCGUCGUCCAAAUUGUAGUCUGGAGAAGCGUCAUCGGCGGCGGAUCGGGCCCAAGUCCCCUGGAAGGGGGUGCCAGAGAGGGUGAGAGCCUCGUUGUGCCCGGACCCUGUCGCACCAUGGGGCGCUGUCUACGAGUCGGGUUGUUUUAGAAUGCAGCCUAAUUCGGGCGGUGAAUUUCAUCCAAGGCUAAAUACGGGCGAGAGACUGAUAGCGAACAAUUACCGUGAGGGAAAGAUGAAAAGGACUUUGAAAAGAGAGUCAAAGAGUGCUUGAAAUUGUCGGGAGGGAAGCGGAUGGGGGCCGGCGAUACGCCCGGGUCGGAUGUGGAACGGUGUUGAGCAGGUCCGCCGAUCGACUCGGGGCGUGGACAAGCGUGGAUUGGGGGGAGGCCAAAGCCCAGACUUUUGAUACGCUCGUGGAACGUCGUCUACUCGAUUAUCAUAGGCAACACGCGCCUUUGGCAUGCUUCGGCAUCUACGCACUCCGAAAGCUGGCCUGUGGGCUCCCCAUUCGACCCGUCAUGAAACACGGACCAAGAAGUCUGACAUGUUUGCGAGUCAACGGGCGAGUAAACCCGUAAGGCUCGAGGAAGCUUAUUGGUGGGAUCCCCCUGAGGGGUGCACCGCCGACCGACCUUGAUCUUCUGUGAAGGGUUCGAGUGUGAGCAUACCUGUCGGGACCCGAAAGACGGUGAACUAUGCCUGAGCGGGGCGAAGCCAGAGGAAACUCUGGUGGAGGCCCACAGCGAUACUAACGUGCAAAUCGUUCGUCUGACUUGGGUAUAGGGGCGAAAUACUAAUCAAACCGUCUAGUAGCUGGUACCCGCCGAAGUUUCCCUCAGGAUAGCUGGAGCUCGGGUGCGAGUUCUAUCAGGUAAACCCAAUGAUUAGAGGCGUCGGGGGGCACAACGCCCUCCACCUAUUCUCAAACUUUAAAUAGGUAGGACGGCGCGGCUGCUUUGUUGAGCCGCGCCACGGAAUCAAGAGCUCCAAGUGGACCAUUUUUGGUAAGCAGAACUGGCGAUGU
rnacentral:lncRNA from 1 species